rfam:Triticum aestivum genome assembly, contig: Triticum_aestivum_CS42_TGACv1_scaffold_513594_6BS
AAAGUACUCCCUCCAUCUAGAAAUAUUUGUCGGAGGAAUGGAUGCAUCUAGACGUAUUUUAGUUCUAGAUACAUCCAUUGUUAUGCAUUUCUCCGACAAGUAUCCGGACGAAGGGAGUAGUAC